GAAAGAGUUGAAUACUGGAGAAUAGGUUUAUGUAAAUUUGUGGAAAUAUUUCAAGGCAAAGACGACAAAUGGUUUUCCUUAAUGUACACCUGUGCCUUACAACAAUAUGAGAAACUGCAUUUGUUACAGAAGGAAAAAAACUGUAAUGAACCAUUUAAUUUUAGAAGUUU